rnacentral:rRNA from 1 species
CCUACGGGAGGCUGCAGUGGGGAAUAUUGGACAAUGGGCGAAAGCCUGAUCCAGCCAUGCCGCGUGUGUGAAGAAGGCCUUCGGGUUGUAAAGCACUUUCAGUGGGGAAGAAAGCCUUGGGGCUAAUACCCUCGAGGAAGGACAUCACCCACAGAAGAAGCACCGGCUAACUCCGUGCCAGCAGCCGCGGUAAUACGGAGGGUGCGAGCGUUAAUCGGAAUUACUGGGCGUAAAGCGCGCGUAGGCGGUCUGAUAAGCCGGUUGUGAAAGCCCCGGGCUCAACCUGGGAACGGCAUCCGGAACUGUCAGGCUAGAGUACAGGAGAGGAAGGUAGAAUUCCCGGUGUAGCGGUGAAAUGCGUAGAGAUCGGGAGGAAUACCAGUGGCGAAGGCGGCCUUCUGGACUGACACUGACGCUGAGGUGCGAAAGCGUGGGUAGCAAACAGGAUUAGAUACCCCAGUAGUC